rnacentral:rRNA from 1 species
ACGAACGCUGGCGGCACGCUUAACACAUGCAAGUCGAACGGUUCAAUUUAGCAAUAAAUUGGAUAGUGGCAAACGGGUGAGUAACACGUGGGAAUCUGCCCAUCAGUACGGAAUAACUUUCGGAAACGGAAGCUAAUACCGUAUAUUCUCUAGCGAGGAAAGAUUUAUCGCUGAUGGAUGAGCCCGCGUCAGAUUAGGUAGUUGGUAGGGUAAUGGCCUACCAAGCCGAUGAUCUGUAGCUGGUCUGAGAGGAUGAUCAGCCACACUGGAACUGAGACACGGUCCAGACUCCUACGGGAGGCAGCAGUGAGGAAUAUUGGACAAUGGGCGAAAGCCUGAUCCAGCGAUGCCGCGUGAAUGAUGAAGGCCUUUGGGUUGUAAAGUUCUUUUAGUGGGGAAGAUAAUGACGGUACCCACAGAAAAAGCUCCGGCUAACUCCGU